UCUGGGGGCGCACAGCAUAAGAGCAUUUCUCCCUUCAGGUCAACUCUGAUCUUCCAGUGGUCCCCACCUCCCCCAGGACACCCCUCAGUCUGGCUUUUAAGGUCCCAGCAUCAUCUUCAGGGGCUCCCUAUUCUUCCCUCUGUGGCUGAUGCCUGCUCGCCUUCCCCAGCCUCUCCUUCCGUCUAACCUGCAAGCCCCCUUCUCCCUGGCCCCAGGCCACUCUGAGCCACCCUCUCAAUCUGUACCCUCAGCCUCUGCAACAGAGCCUGGCGUGGUGUUGCCCCACUGCAUGUUUGUUGACUGACUGGCUGAUGGAUGCAGAGCCCGUCCUUCCUAAUGGUUCAGACUCAGGCGUCAUCAGCCCAGAUGGCUCCGAGGGUGGGUUCUCUCUUAGUUACCGUGUCCAGAGCCCACCUCCCUCACACCCACACAGCGCUUCCUAAAGGCAGGGACAGGAGCUGGCCUCCCUCGCCUGCUGGCGUGGGGCUGGACACAGGAGGAAGUGGCGUGGGGGCUGCCCGAGGGGAGUGAGGCGGCAGGAUAGCUUCCCCAGCAGGUCUCUGGCUCAGGUCCCGGUAUCUCCUCCUCCCCAUACCUCUGCCUCUCGCCUCCGCUCAGAAAAGCAGGUGCCCUUAAGAGCCAUCUCCACCCCCAUGUGAACUGCACACAGGAAAGGAGAGGCCACUCCGACUGCUCUGAGGUCCAGGGAAGGGGCCUGUGCUGCCGCUCGGAGGGUGCCAUGCCCAGAGCCUCUGCCCCUAGCCUCAGCCUCGCCUACUCACUGGGGGCUCCAGCACCCCCGGCCACCCCAGGACUCCCGAAGAGGCUGCUAGGUCGGCCUGCCCAAAGAGCGGUGAGGAGCGUAUGUGAAGAGCCCCAGUCUUGAGGAGCAGCCUGUAUCUGGAGAGAGGGGAGCCCCGGACCAGAGGUGGGGGACAGGAAGCCAUCGCCCCACCCUGCCUCCUCCCCCACCACAGGUACCAGGCCCGGAAACCACGGAAAGGGGAACUUGGUCUUUUCUUGUUUUGCUCUCAACCCCUUCCUGUCUCCAAGCCCAGGGCAGCUGCCCCGCUCACCCCACCCUGCCCUCGUCCCCACCCUCCCCGAGACUCAAUUCCGUGGGGAGUCGGGCCCUCGACACUGUGCUGACCCCCGGCCACCCACCUCCAUCUUGGCCGCGGUGGUCCCUAGCCCUCGCCUCCGCAGAGCGCUCUGGGGCCCCGGCGGCCCCCACUCCAAGCAGCGUCCCCCCACGGGCUGCUGCGCCCGCUACCUGGCCCCGGCGCUGGCUGGGUCGCGGUGACAGCCGCGCGCCCCCGCAGCCCGCGGCUCCCACGCGCGCGCCGCCCCACAGGUGGCCCUCGCCCCGGCCCACCCGCGCCUCCCAGGCCCAGCCUCACCUGCUGCCGAGAGAGGACAGUGACCCCCCAAAAGCCGGAGGUGAAGGAGGAGGAGGAAGAGGAGGAAGGAGCUGGAGGAGCCGGGGACUCGCCCGCUGAGGAUGCUCUUGUCAAGACAAUGAAUGAGAAGCAGCCGUGCGCCCGCCUCCGGGGUGGCCGCGCCCCUUGGGGCGGAGCUCUUCCAGGCCCGCCCUGCGCUCUCCGGCCCCCGCUGCGGCCGCCUCCCUCCCCGGCCCCUGCCCGCGCACCGCGUUGGUCCCCAACCAUAGCGCAGGCUGCCAUCCCGGCUCCGGGAAGCGAAUCUAAACUUCUUUUUAAAAUGUCAAAACGCAA